CUUUCUGAGCCAAGUCUAGCAGCUGAGGGUAGCGUGUCUCGAUGAUCUGGCUGGCGCUCGACGCGAUCACAGAUCUGUGAUCGAAUGUUCCAGGUGGUCCCUCUACCUUGCUGUUGCCUGAUGCAUGCAAUCUGAAUCUACACCUUGCCUGAGGGGGCGAUGCCCUGCUCGAUGUACUUUUACAAGUGUAUCCUGGAACGAGAAUCAAGCGUGAGGAGAAGAAAUAAGCUCGCAUGGAGGGUGACUGUGACAAGAUCUCAAGGUCAUAGACUUUGACUAUGCGGUGCUGGUGG
rnacentral:lncRNA from 1 species